UGGGGAAUUUUGGACAAUGGGCGAAAGCCUGAUCCAGCAAUGCCGCGUGUGUGAAGAAGGCCUUCGGGUUGUAAAGCACUUUUGUCCGGAAAGAAAUCCUUGGCUCUAAUACAGUCGGGGGAUGACGGUACCGGGAAGAAUAAGCACCGGCUAACUACGUGCCAGCAGCCGCGGUAAUACGUAGGGUGCAAGCGUUAAUCGGAAUUACUGGGCGUAAAGCGUGCGCAGGCGGUUUGCUAAGACCGAUGUGAAAUCCCCGGGCUCAACCUGGGAACUGCAUUGGUGACUGGCAGGCUAGAGUAUGGCAGAGGGGGGUAGAAUUCCACGUGUAGCAGUGAAAUGCGUAGAGAUGUGGAGGAAUACCGAUGGCGAAGGCAGCCCCCUGGGCCAAUACUGACGCUCAUGCACGAAAGCGUGGGGAGCAAACAGGAUUAGAUACCCUGGUAGUCCCACGCCCUAAACGAUGUCAACUAGUUGUUGGGGAUUCAUUUCCUUAGUAACGUAGCUAACGCGUGAAGUUGACCGCCUGGGGAGU
rnacentral:rRNA from 1 species